rnacentral:rRNA from 1 species
UACGUAGGGUGCAAGCGUUGUCCGGAAUCAUUGGGCGUAAAGCGUGCGCAGGCGGUUUUGUAAGUCAGAUGUGAAAUCCCCGGGCUUAACCUGGGACUGCGUUUGAAACUACAAGGCUAGAGUGUGGCAGAGGGGGGUGGAAUUCCACGUGUAGCAGUGAAAUGCGUAGAGAUGUGGAGGAACACCGAUGGCGAAGGCAGCCCCCUGGGUUAACACUGACGCUCGAGGCACGAAAGCGUGGGGGAGCAAACAGG